rnacentral:misc_RNA from 1 species
AAGUCGUAACAAGGUAACCGUAGGUGAACCUGCGGUUGGAUCAUUAAACAAACCCAAGGUGCCGGGAGUUCGAUAUGGGGGCAAAAGGGCGCUUGUAACUCAAGUCGUCUUCCCCGUCAGCUCUCGGAUUACCAACACAUCUUGUGAACCCUCAAACCCGUCCGGCGGGGGAGGGAUGGGAGGCUCUCCGGAGUCUCCGAUUCCUCCGUCAGCGCAGGCAGCCUCCGGCCGUUCUUCGCCGUGGACAACCCGCCCACCCAACCCUUCCAGCCUUCGCGUUGAAGGGGUUGUUUUGCCCAACUUUUUGGAUCUUUAAGAAUUGUGAAUUGUAUCUGAGAAUGCGACGGUGCAAUUGCGCCGUCUUUUUGGAAACAAACAUUCAAAAACAACUUUUGGCAACGGAUCUCUUGGCUCUC